rnacentral:lncRNA from 1 species
CUAAAGUGGAGAAUGGGAAAAUCGAAAGCCUCCUUCAGCAGAACAAAGCCACCUGCGCCGACCUCCACAAGAUGCUUCAGGAAGAGCGGAAGGAGGCUGCCAACUCGGAGGCUGACCUGGAGAGGCGGCUGGUGCAGGUUGAGCAGGAGUAUCAAGAGAAGAUCCUCUACCUGCUCGACAAAGUCCAGCAACAGGAGAAAGAAGGCAAAAGUCUGGAAAGGACCCUGACUUCCAAAAGGGAGGAGGAGGAGCUUCUGGAACACCUCCGUUUCCAGGAUGAAGAGAUUGGAAAGAUGAAAGAGGGGUUGGAAAAACAUGAAAUCUGCCCAACGCCAGAAGCCCUGAAGCAGGUGAGUUCAAGGGCAGCUUCACCUGCUGGGACAAGGUGACCUCACUCCUUGCUGGCUCACACAACUCCUCCUUCACCUCCUCCAUCUUUUCCUCCUGCAGGAGGAGUUCAAGGUUCUCCAGGCUACUAACGGACAGAAGGCCUGCAAACGUUCCAGCUCUGGAGAAGUUUUUGACUCCCCUUUGGAACACAUCCCUCCCAAGGUUGGUGAUCUCAAGGGGGGGGGGCGUGUUAUAGAGCCCCCUGAGGGAGGAGCUGGCAUCUCCCUCUCCCCCCCCCCCGGUCCUGUUAGCAGGGAUUAGAAAUAGGGAG